rnacentral:rRNA from 1 species
AGCUACAGGCUUAGCACAUGCAAGUCGAGGGGCAGCAUUUUAGUUUGCUUGCAAACUGAAGAUGGCGACCGGCGCACGGGUGAGUAACACGUAUCCAACCUGCCGAUAACUCCGGAAUAGCCUUUCGAAAGAAAGAUUAAUACCGGAUAGCAUACGAAUAUCGCAUGAUAUUUUUAUUAAAGAAUUUCGGUUAUCGAUGGGGAUGCGUUCCAUUAGUUUGUUGGCGGGGUAACGGCCCACCAAGACAACGAUGGAUAGGGGUUCUGAGAGGAAGGUCCCCCACAUUGGAACUGAGACACGGUCCAAACUCCUACGGGAGGCAGCAGUGAGGAAUAUUGGUCAAUGGGCGAGAGCCUGAACCAGCCAAGUAGCGUGAAGGAUGAAGGCUCUAUGGGUCGUAAACUUCUUUUAUAUGGGAAUAAAGUUUUCCACGUGUGGAAUUUUGUAUGUACCAUAUGAAUAAGGAUCGGCUAACUCCGUGCCAGCAGCCGCGGUAAUACGGAGGAUCCGAGCGUUAUCCGGAUUUAUUGGGUUUAAAGGGAGCGUAGGUGGAUUGUUAAGUCAGUUGUGAAAGUUUGCGGCUCAACCGUAAAAUUGCAGUUGAAACUGGCAGUCUUGAGUACAGUAGAGGUGGGCGGAAUUCGUGGUGUAGCGGUGAAAUGCUUAGAUAUCACGAAGAACUCCGAUUGCGAAGGCAGCUCACUAGACUGUCACUGACACUGAUGCUCGAAAAUGUGGGUAUCAAACAGGAUUAGAUACCCUGGUAGUCCACACAGUAAACGAUGAAUACUCGCUGUUUGCGAUAUACAGUAAGCGGCCAAGCGAAAGCAUUAAGUAUUCCACCUGGGGAGUACGCCGGCAACGGUGAAACUCAAAGGAAUUGACGGGGGCCCGCACAAGCGGAGGAACAUGUGGUUUAAUUCGAUGAUACGCGAGGAACCUUACCCGGGCUUAAAUUGCAACAGAAUAUAUUGGAAACAGUAUAGCCGUAAGGCUGUUGUGAAGGUGCUGCAUGGUUGUCGUCAGCUCGUGCCGUGAGGUGUCGGCUUAAGUGCCAUAACGAGCGCAACCCUUAUCUUUAGUUACUAACAGGUGAUGCUGAGGACUCUAGAGAGACUGCCGUCGUAAGAUGUGAGGAAGGUGGGGAUGACGUCAAAUCAGCACGGCCCUUACGUCCGGGGCUACACACGUGUUACAAUGGGGGGUACAGAAGGCGGCUACCUGGUGACAGGAUGCUAAUCCCAAAAACCUCUCUCAGUUCGGAUCGAAGUCUGCAACCCGACUUCGUGAAGCUGGAUUCGCUAGUAAUCGCGCAUCAGCCAUGGCGCGGUGAAUACGUUCCCGGGCCUUGUACACACCGCCCGUCAAGCCAUGAAAGCCGGGGGUACCUGAAGUACGUAACCGCAAGGAGCGUCCUAGGGUAAAACUGGUAAUUGGGGCU